rnacentral:rRNA from 1 species
UACGUAGGGGGCUAGCGUUGUCCGGAAUCAUUGGGCGUAAAGAGCGUGUAGGCGGCCCGGUAAGUCCGCUGUAAAAGUCAAAGGCUCAACCUUUGAAUGUCAGCGGAUACUGCCGGGCUAGAGUCCGGAAGAGGCGAGUGGAACUCCUGGUGUAGCGGUGGAAUGCGCAGAUAUCAGGAAGAACACCAACGGCGAAGGCAGCUCGCUGGGACGGAACUGACGCUGAGGAGCGAAAGCGUGGGGAGCGAACAGG